CUUUCUUUGCUGGCGACCGGCGCACGGGUGAGUAACACGUAUCCAACCUGCCCUUUACUCGGGGAUAGCCUUUCGAAAGAAAGAUUAAUACCCGAUAGCAUAAUGAUUCCGCAUGGUUUCAUUAUUAAAGGAUUCCGGUAAAGGAUGGGGAUGCGUUCCAUUAGAUAGUAGGCGGGGUAACGGCCCACCUAGUCUUCGAUGGAUAGGGGUUCUGAGAGGAAGGUCCCCCACAUUGGAACUGAGACACGGUCCAA
rnacentral:rRNA from 1 species